GACGAACGCUGGCGGCGUGCCUAAUACAUGCAAGUCGACCUUAGUGGCGACCGGGUGAGUAACACGUGGGUAACCUGCCCAUCAGAAGGGGAUAACACUUGGAAACCGGUGCUAAUACCGUAUACUGAUGGAUGGACCCGCGGUGCAUCCGCUCGUUGGUGAGGUAACGGCUCACCAAGGCCACGAUGCAUAGCCGACCUGAGAGGGUGAUCGGACACAUUGGAGCUGAGACACGGCCCAAACUCCUACGGGAGGCAGCAGUAGGGAAUCUUCGGCAAUGGACGAAAGUCUGACCGAGCAACGCCGCGUGAGUGAAGAAGGUUUGCGGAGCGGAAAACGCUGUUGUUAGAGAAGCGGUAUCUAACCAGAAAGCCACGGCUAACUACGUGCCAGCCGCCGCGGUAAUAC
rnacentral:rRNA from 1 species